GGCCAUGCAGACGUGAAUUGUUGCAGUUGUUUGAGCAUCAAAAAUUGGCGUAUGUUUGACAGCUUUUGUCGGAGCAUACUAUGUUCAUAACGGAGCUGCUCGUUCUCCCUCCUUACAGUGUUGCAAUGGUACAGAACCAAACGCAAUCGAUUCGUUAAUUCUCUGUUCUCAAUCUUCAAUUUGUUCACCUGAUAUCUUAAGUUUUCUAAGUGCCUCUGUUUUCGCAUGCGUGAUCUCCUGGCAGACUCCCGAUUUGAUAUCAUCCGCCGUCGUUUUCGAUCAUCGAUCAUCGAAACAGUGAUGGGGUUUGGGUCAUCAGAACUGCAGUUAGAAUUGGCAUGAUUUUGGUUAGAUUUGUUCGGUUCGUUCGGAUCAUCUGAACCUGAACUCGAA
rnacentral:lncRNA from 1 species